rnacentral:lncRNA from 1 species
CGCGGCGUCUGGGUGGGGACGCGCUCGCCUACGUAAAUAUGAUGCGAUGACGUGAACCCGGAAGAGAUUGGGGCGGGGCCGCGUCGACUCGGAAGCGGUCGGCGGCGGGCCGGCAGGGCCGGCGCAGCAGCAGCAGGAGGAGGUAGAGAGAGCGGCGGCCGUCUGGCCAGGAUGGCGGGGACGGCGCUCAAGCGGCUUAUGGCCGAGUACAAACAACUGACGCUGAAUCCUCCGGAGGGCAUUGUAGCAGGGCCCAUGAAUGAAGAGAACUUUUUUGAGUGGGAAGCCUUGAUCAUGGGUCCAGAAGAUACCUGUUUUGAGUUUGGCGUUUUCCCUGCGAUCCUGAGCUUUCCCCUGGACUACCCGCUCAGCCCCCCGAAGAUGAGGUUCACCUGUGAAAUGUUCCACCCAAACAUUUACCCGGAUGGGCGGGUCUGCAUCUCCAUCCUGCACGCCCCUGGAGACGACCCCAUGGGUUAUGAGAGCAGUGCUGAGCGCUGGAGCCCGGUGCAGAGUGUGGAGAAGAUUCUGCUCUCAGUAGUGAGCAUGUUGGCAGAACCAAACGACGAGAGUGGCGCCAAUGUGGACGCUUCCAAAAUGUGGCGGGACGACCGCGAGCAGUUCUACCGCAUCGCCAAGCAGAUCGUGCAGAAGUCCCUGGGGCUCUAGGACCGCCCCACUCCGCCCCCUCCCCCGCUUCCCCUCCCCCACCCCCCUCCUUGCUCUCGUCACCUCCCGCCGAUGGGCACGAAUUUAUGGGCACCGCAGCGGUCUCUGCUGGGGGGCGGAUGCAGCGUCUGCCCUCUGGCAGUAUUCCUCGGCUCUCUGGCCGUCUGGCCCCCAGGCGCCCCUGCUUGAUGGACCAUGGCGCUCCCUGCAAGUCGGUCCAAGUUAAAGGCCGGGUGGUGUUGGAAGCGGGUUCCCGGCCCGCGGGCGCCUCGUCCGCAGGCAGAUUCUGUGCUGACGAUCUGACAAAUACACAUUGUUGCUAUCCCCAGUGGGCCGAGCUUCCUUUCAGCCGAGCAUUCUGCCAAAAACUUUUGGCCAAUAGCCUUUUGUAGAAUGUGGGUCAGUGGGGGGGAGGGAGGUGGGGGGGAGAAGGAGUAUUAAAUAGGAAAAAAUCUUCAUCAGCGCAGCUUAAAUAUCAAGAGGCAUUUGGGCAACGUUCAAAGGUCGCGCUGCGGUCAGCCGGGAGUCGCUGACUGCAGACCCGAACCCUCCGAGCCCCUUGAGAAGCCCUCUGGACGUUGUGGGUCUGCCGCCCAGAGCCGAGACCUGAGAUUCUAAGCAAUAACGGGCUCGUUGCCAACAGAACCGGCCACUUGGGCCUGCUAAAUUUUAGCGGGCAAGAUUUAAAUAGGAAUUUCUAUUUUUCAAAUCCGAGAAAUAAGGGCGUCGGAGGUUCGCAUUUCCCUUUCGUUUUCCCUUCGAGGGCCCUUCACGGAAACCCUCCCCCAGGCUUUUGGUCUGCGGUGCCCCCAAGGGGUCCUGGACUGGCCGAUUGGAUUCGGAUUCUCACCUUCAGAAGGGAAUUAGGUGGUUUGGUGUGAAGUGAAAGCCUAAGGGUGAGGAGAGGGGGCAAGUGCCCCCAAGCUGGGUGGGUGGUUCGGGGCUCAGUGAGGUCGAGAGCGGCAGCUUCGUGCGGAGGGAGGGGGAUGUCGGUGAGGGGUGAGGAGCCGAUAAAAUCAGGUGGCGGCUAUGGAGUGGAAAAUCCUUUUCAAAAUCAAAGUAUUUUUAUUCGUUUGUAUUUAUUUUGUAACCUCCUCCCGCGCAGUUCACUUUACCGUAGAGUUUAAUGGCUUUGUUAAAAAUAAAGUUCUAUAUUGACCCCCUGUGUAGAAGUCUGUGUCUUCUCGGUUUUGGAUGCUUCUCCCUGAAAAGGAGACCCGGCCGGCAGCUGCAGUGCGGCUUGGGAACCCCUCCCUCCGGCCGGGAGACAGCGGGGCAUCAAGCAGAAGCCGGCUUGUCUGGGAGACAGCCACCGAAAGGCGGAAGAGAGCCAGGCCCCAGACCCCGGGCCUGGCAGCCUCUGUUGGGGGGGAGGGGGUCGCGUUUCGGGCACGUGAGGUCACUCGGUGACUGCAAAUGUGUCACCUCGGCCCGAGCGAAGGCUGGGGAGGAGGGAGGGGAGGCGGCAUAUGAGGAGGGCCGGGCCGGGGGCGAUGCAGGGAGGAAGGAAGCGGGCGCGGGACUACUGGCUCCUCUAGUGGUUCUGCUCGGUGUCUGGCCUGGUUCUCCAUGGGCACCGGUUCUGGAGGAAUUGGGGCCCGCGGGCGGUUGUCGGCACUUGGAGGCGGGAGAAAGGCAGCGGGCUCUUGCCCCGGGCCCUGCGCUGUGGCCUCCGGGGUGGGGCCGCCCCUAAGGGUUCCUCCUUUGUUGUAUCGCUAUUUGCAUCGGGCUCUUUCGUGCCUUUGAGCUUUUCCGGGUUUUUCACCUGAAGGGCACAAUCUCCCGGCGCUGGAGACGAGGCCCGGGAGGAUGAAUUCCUCUCAUUUAAAGAACCCCGCUUGGGGCCGCUAGGUGGCGCAGCGCCAGUCCCGAAAUCAGGAGGACCCAGACACUUACACUUCCUGGCUGUGUGGCUCUGGGCAAGUCACUGAACCCCGACUGCCUCGGGAAAAAAAGAAAGAAAGAAAAGAAAAAGGGGUCCUGUGCUUUAUUUGGCCCAGCUGUGUAAUUUGUUCUUUUACCAUUUCCAUGGAGCUUCUGCCUUUGAUUCGCGCGAGCGCGUGUAUUUUAUUUACUUGUAUUUACUUGUAGCCUUGUCGCCUCGGGACUUAGAAAUGGGGCAGGGAGGUUCUGAGCGGGCGGAUGCUGGGCUCCUCCCCAGCUUUCUCCCGACCUCUGCAGCUGUUCAGGAAGCCUCGGACCCCGAGUCUAGAGCACGGAGUCGGGGCCAGCUGGCCUGCCUGAGCCCAGAGGGGUGCCCCCAGCCUUUCUUUUGUUACAUGGGGGCGACUUGCAGUCUGUUCUCACUGCCCAGCGCCUUGGGACCGGGCCCCUGCCCAGCAGGAAGCGCCAAACGCAGGGAGAGGACCAGACUCGGCUACAUGCCAGGCUUGGGAGUUGGCAGGGUUUUCCCUUAAAGGCAGGAGAGCGCCGCGUCCCAUUACUUUUGAGAUAGGCAGGUGGCAGCCUCCAAUUCAAGUCUUAACUAGCCUGGACAAGCCCCUGAACCAUGGCUUGCCUCAGCUUCCCCAUCUGUCAAAUGGGGAUCACUGUCGUGCUUCUGCAUGAAGGUCGUAAGGGAGACCGAGGCCAGAUGCUGGGGUUCUGGAGGAGGGAGCUCUGGGGCAGAGAACACCCCCUCCCCCCCAAUCUGUGGAUAGCAAAGCUCAGCUGGGCUUUCUUCCCUCUUCAGACGUUUCGGAGCCAAGCUCCAGCUCUGCUCCCAGGCAGCAGAGAGGCCUGGGGAGUGCAGGAGAGAGCGGCCUCCUGUGCAUCCCUGCCGCUGGGAGCUGCCUGGGCUCCUUCGCCCAGAGCUCGCCCGGGAGGGACGCCGGCCUGGGGCUGGCCCACUGCCCCUCCCCCUUUGCUGGGACAUUUCGCCGGUCCCAUACUGGGGAGAGUGGGAAGAAGGCCCAUCCUUGGCCAGGCAGUUAGUGGGAGCCCCAGACUGGGGGGCAGAGGUGGUGGGGGCAGCUGGGGGCCAGGGAGAACUGCCCUCCCUCAGGAGCUUGGAGCCUCCUUUGCCUGGAAUCCCUUUUAAGGGAGGGGAUCACAGGAAACGGCGCAAUUCCAAGCCAGGCUCUUCGGUGACAGUUUUCGACCGUGUUUCAUCUUUCCAAAUUCAUGACCAGGUUGUUGUCAGCCUUCCUCUGGCUCAGACUCUGGGCUCCUCCCUCAGGCAGUGGUCUCCGGUCCACAUGACUCCCGUGCCUCCCUCCCUGCCUCCCAGGCAGUGGUCCCGGCCAUCCUCUUCCCACAGAGAUUCGGGUUGGGGGGAGGUCUUGGGAGCUGGGCCAGGAGUCAGGAAGACUUCUCCAGGGCCAGAUCUGGCCCCAGGCUCUUCCCAGCCGUGUGCAUCACUGUUUCCUUCAGUUUCCUCUUCUGUAAAAUGAGCUGGAAGGCUCUGCCAGAAGAAAAUCCCAUUUGGGGUCCCAAAGACCUGGUCCAGGACAGGCUCAGGCCGCCUGUGCCCACAGACUGGGAAGUGCUGGCGGCCAGGAAGCGCUGCCCUUUCUUGUGUCUCCAGGGCCGGACACGGGGCCUGGACAGACCGCUGGGGCUGGGGUGGAUUUCAGGGAGCGUCUCUUGGGGGCUUUACGCUGUCGGGAAUAGCUGAGGAACCAGCCCCAGUGGCCAAGUUACACUGCUGAUGAUUCCUGCUGGAAGGGAGAAGGCGGCCUGGUGCUCGGGGCUGGGGGUGAGCACAGAGCCCCAGCUCCCGGCUACAUCUCCCCGGGGAGUUGGUGGCCAAGAGCAGCCCCUAGCAAGAGUCCGCUUCCUGGAAUCAAAACAAACGAUGGAGAAGGGGCUUUUUAAAGGGCCAGCAUCUUUUCCCGAGCCCUUGUUCUUGUCCCAGUGUUCAUUCACUCCCCGUCCCUUUCACUCGGACCCAUCAUCACUUGCCAAGAUGGUGUCUGAGUUAGGCGCUCUCUUUUGUCACAGACAUCUCGCCUUUAGGCUCACGCCAGGGAGUCCUCGGUCUUGGGUCAGUGACCGUGGUCUUGGGGACUUGAGUCCUGUAUCCUAACCCCCAUGGUUCACGGGGCUGCAUCUUCUCAGUGGAGGGGCUCCAUGGGCUGAGGAAGUAGCUCUACCCUCUGGGACCCCUCCUAAGCUCAGAGGUCACACUUCAGAUGAGCCUUUGGGUGGCCCUGCCCAGGGCUGGGCCGGCCCUAACCAUCUGGGGACACUGCCUGACUUGAGGUCUGGGAAAGGAGGAAUCUUCGCCCAGAAUCUUUGUCCACGUGGCAAAUCUAGUUCCUUCCAUGUAGCCUGGGCACCAGCCGUGAAGAAGGCUGUGCUAAAGGCUGUGGGGAGGAGAGCAGCCAGAACCUGGAGCCCAGGGGGCCGUGGGCUGGGCGAGACGUGGCUAUUGGGCCCGAGGAGAGGCUGCUGGCCCCUGGCUGGGAAGGGCUUCCGGUACAGCGGGCUGCCUCCUCGCUGCCUCUGUGGUCACUGACCCAGAACCGGGUGCAGGUCCCUCUGCUGACCGUCACGCGUGUGACCCCGGGGAGCUGGCUUUUGCUCUCCGCACCUCAGGCUUCUCGUCUUAAAAUCGCACUCACUUGAACAGAUGAAAGACUCUCUGAGAGCCGGCUGUAAACUUUUGUGCGCUUGCCAAGGGUCGGCCAUUUUGACAGGGAGGUCUGGCGCUGUCACUGUGGGCCCCGCAGGCUAGCGCACACUUGGGCGCAGUCCUUCCGUAGCCUCCAAUGCCCACCAGGUGCCAUCCCAGCAGCGGCUGAGUGCGUGCGAAUGGGCUUUCGGAUCGGCUUCCCUAAUCCGGCUCUCCUGCCGGCUUCUGCUGGUUGCAGGGGGUGGGAGGGGGGCUGCCAGGCCCCUUUUAAGUCGGGCCGGGUGGCGCUUGCUUGCUUUCUGGCGUUUCUGGCAGAGGACCUGAGCUUGGAAGCCAUUCAGCUGGAAACGAGAGCUGGGCUGAGCUGGGUUUGGCGCAGGCCCUUUGAAAUCCGGGAUAAGACUCCAAGGGACUUGGAAGAGCAUGAAAGGCUCUCUCUGCCGGGGAUUCUCCUGCUUUCUCCGCCUUGGCCCCGCUCCGAGCUGCCGGAGCUGCUCCCUGGGCGCUGUGGUCGCGGAGGCGGCGGGAGCACGGGCCCUGGGGAUUUCGCACACAAGCUGCACCUGUGGCAGCGGCUGCCCGGCCUGAGCUCUGGCCACCGCCAAUAGAGAUGCAGUAGAAACAAUAGAGAUACAGUAGAUACAAUGAAGAUACAAAGAUACAAUGGAGAUACAGAGAUACAAUAGAUACAAUGGAGAUAUAGAUACAAUGGAGAUAUAGAGAUAGAAUAAAUACAAUGGAGAUACAGUAGAUACAGUGGAGAUACAAAGAUACAAUGGAGAUACAGAGAUACAAUGGAGAUACAGAGAUAUAAUAGAUACAAUGGAGAUACAGAGAUACAAUAGAUACAAUGGAGAUACAGUAGAUCUCAGUGAAGAUACAGUAGAUACAAUGAAGAUACAGAGAUA